rnacentral:sRNA from 1 species
AAGGAGUCUAACAUAUAUGCGAGUAUUUGGGUGGCAAACCCAUGUGCGCAAUGAAAGUGAACGUAAGUGGGAUCCCUUCCUCUGUGUUGGGUGCACCAUUGACCGAUCUGGAUAAUUUUUUGAUAGAUUUGAGUAUGAGCAUACAUGCUGGGACCCGAAAGAUGGUGAACUAUGCCUGAAUAGGGUGAAGCCAGAGGAAACUCUGGUGGAGGCUCGUAGCGAUUCUGACGUGCAAAUCGAUCGUCAAAUUUGGGUAUAGGGGCGAAAGACUAAUCGAACCAUCUAGUAGCUGGUUCCCUC